GGGAAUUUCGCAUGGACGAAGUCUGACGGAGCAACGCCGCGUGAGUGAUGAAGGUUUUCGGAUCGUAAAGCUCUGUUGUUAGGGAAGAACAAGUGCCGUUCAAAUAGGGCGGCACCUUGACGGUACCUAACCAGAAAGCCACGGCUAACUACGUGCCAGCAGCCGCGGUAAUACGUAGGUGGCAAGCGUUGUCCGGAAUUAUUGGGCGUAAAGGGCUCGCAGGCGGUUUCUUAAGUCUGAUGUGAAAGCCCCCGGCUCAACCGGGGAGGGUCAUUGGAAACUGGGGAACUUGAGUGCAGAAGAGGAGAGUGGAAUUCCACGUGUAGCGGUGAAAUGCGUAGAGAUGUGGAGGAACACCAGUGGCGAAGGCGACUCUCUGGUCUGUAACUGACGCUGAGGAGCGAAAGCGUGGGGAGCGAACAGGAUUAGAUACCCUGGUAGUCCACGCCGUAAACGAUGAGUGCUAAGUGUUAGGGGGUUUCCGCCCCUUAGUGCUGCAGCUAACGCAUUAAGCACUCCGCCUGGGGAGUACGGUCGCAAGACUGAAACUCAAAGGAAUUGACGGGGGCCCGCACAAGCGGUGGAGCAUGUGGUUUAAUUCGAAGCAACGCGAAGAACCUUACCAGGUCUUGACAUCCUCUGACAAUCCUAGAGAUAGGACGUCCCCUUCGGGGGCAGAGUGACAGGUGGUGCAUGGUUGUCGUCAGCUCGUGUCGUGAGAUGUUGGGUUAAGUCCCGCAACGAGCGCAACCCUUGAUCUUAGUUGCCAGCAUUCAGUUGGGCACUCUAAGGUGACUGCCGGUGACAAACCGGAGGAAGGUGGGGAUGACGUCAAAUCAUCAUGCCCCUUAUGACCUGGGCUACACACGUGCUACAAUGGACAGAACAAAGGGCAGCGAAACCGCGAGGUUAAGCCAAUCCCACAAAUCUGUUCUCAGUUCGGAUCGCAGUCUGCAACUCGACUGCGUGAAGCUGGAAUCGCUAGUAAUCGCGGAUCAGCAUGCCGCGUGAUACGUUCCCGGGUCUUGUACACACCGCCCGUCACACCACGAGAGUUGUAACACCGAAGUCGUGAGUAACCUUUAUGGAGCCAGCCGCCGAGGUGGACAGAUGAUUGGAGGUGAGUCGUAACAAGGUAGCCGUA
rnacentral:rRNA from 1 species